rnacentral:tRNA from 1 species
AAAUAUGAAGUAAAUAAUACAUUUAGUUUCGACCUAAAAAUUUGACUUACUUAAGUCCAUAUUUU